UCUGCAGCAAGUAUCCUUCUCAAGGUCUCUCCUUGAGGACUGAGAGAGAAUUAGGAUUCACGCUCUGCACAAGCUCUUGGCAGACCUCCUGGAUGCCAUGCUGGGGAACACUCUGGUAGAGUCCCCAGACACAGACAGGCUCCAGAACAUCUUGGAGCAUGUCAACUUCUGGAUCAGGUCCAGAGUGUCCCAGGAGAGAGCCAGGGCCAUAAGGAGCAGCAUAGCCCUGCUCUGAUUUACCAUCACCCUCCCUGAAAUUGAUAAUUCAGCACAGUUCCACAAGAUGGGGAACCUCGUGGCUCAGCUGGGUCUGUAUAUCAGUGACCCAGCUAAGGACAUCAGCCAGCACAUCUGUACGUCAGUGACCUAGCCAAGGAUAUCAGCCAGCAGGCCAGGGAGGGUAUUUACUGGCUGUACCAACUGCUGCUGCACCAGAGAGGCACCCAGGAUACUCCACCCACUGGAGGGAGCCCUGCUAUUCUGUUGGACCAGAGGUGCAGUGAGGGUUCCUCCCACUGUGUAGCCACCACUGGGAAUGGAACAAUGCAGGCACUGAAACCAGAAAGAGAAAUUUGACAAAGAGAAGCUGCCAAGGAACAGCUGUCAUGGGAAAACUGAAGGAAUAGAGGCAGGAGCUCACUGUUCAAUGUGGCAGGGGUUGGCACUGGAGGUCACUAGAGAGGAAGACAAGAGUCCAUCCCAGGGUUCCAGUUACCAUUAAUCCCCCCUGAUUCCUGGGGGCACCCAAGUCUCUGACAAGUUCUUGUUCUCUUGAGGCAGGUGGACAUCACAGCCAAGAUGAUGUGCCAGCUCCAAACCAUCCAUUCCUUUUGCCAAGCCCCUGAGGCACUGCAUCUCUUAGGACACCUGUGAUGGGUUGUAUAACCCUACACUGGGCCAGGAGGAGUUAGAGAGCAGUCCUGGGCCGCUGUGAUCCCACCCCACUCCACCUGCAAGAACCUGCUCAAGAUGGAAGAGAAGUUUAAAAAGGAGCCUGUCAUGGGAUGUAUGUACCCCUGCACUAGCCCAGCAACCAGUGGGUUAACACAGCCACUGCCAGCCACUGCUGACUGACAAGCUAACAGCAGCUGGAAGGAUAAAAGGGCUGGGAGCAGAAGGGCAGGGCAGCUAAAGAGGAGUGAGGAGGCAGGACAAAGGAACUCCUGUCAGCAGACUGCUAGAGAGCCGCCCAGGGAUAUCACCCCAGAAAGAGGUGAACAGGCCAACAGACUGAAAAGCCUACAGAGGCCUGAAGGAAGGUAGGAAGCAGUUCAGGGCACAGUCAGAGUCAGUAAACCCUAACUCUUCUUCUCUAGCUUGAAGGCCCUGAGCUGGAACCAGGUGGGUGUGGGGGCAGGCCUGGGUUCCCCUAAAUCCUCCUGAUGCACCUGGGAACAGAGAGGACAUCAUUUGCACUGACGCCCCACCUCACAGAGCCAGACAGCUCAGAACGGGGAGAAACAGUAGAGAACAAGAGACUUACCUCAGAAGAUCCUGAAUAAGGGUGCGGCAGGUGUCUGGAGAGAUUCUGCUAGCAGCAGCUACCCCAGGCCUGAGAGGAGGGGCUAGCCUGUCCCUAAGACUACAGAACCCUUUGAUCUAACUUCUGGAGGAUCAUUUGACUGCCCAGUGGAGAGGGAAGGCCCGGGCUUCUGUACUAACCGCGCAUUUCAUGGAGGGUACAUAGACUCUUUUUCCCCUCUCGAAGAGGAGGAGAAGGUAGAAACAUUAUAAGCCCUGAGCCAAAGGUGUGCCACUCACAGGUGACCAGAAGUGGGUUGAAAACCCUUUCUUUUGUGGGGACGUUGGACUGUAUACAUUUUGUUGGACUCUUAACCUGGAACUCAACUGGUGAACAGGCUAGAGGGCCAAGGCCUCAGAUCCUCAUCACUAGGGCCCUACCAAAUUCACAGUUCAUUUUGGUCAAUUUCACAGUCAUAGGAAUUUAAAAAUCAUAAUUUUCAUGAUUUCAGCUAUUUAAAUCUGAAAUUUCACACUGUUGUAAUUC